AAUCAACGCUGGCGGCGCGCUUAACACAUGCAAGUCGCACGAGAAAGUGGAGCAAUCCAUGAGUAAAGUGGCGUACGGGUGAGUAACACGUGGAUCAUCUACCUUUUAGUGGGGAAUACCCCCCGGGAAACUGGGGACAAUACCGCAUAAGCUCGGAAGAGGAAAGCAGCAAUGCGCUGAAAGAGGAGUCCGCGGCUGAUUAGCUAGAUGGCGGGGUAACGGCCCACCAUGGCAAAGAUCGGUAGCCGGCCUGAGAGGGCACACGGCCAC
rnacentral:rRNA from 1 species